AUGCAGGAAAAGUUACAAUGCAGCUUUUGCAGUACUGCAUUGUCGUUCCCCCUGCAAACAGCAACUCGUUUCCUCGCUAUCCCUGUCUGCCAUUAACUCUUGGCUGCUGGGGACGUAAGGUUUCAGACAC
ensembl:snoRNA SNORA63 Small nucleolar RNA SNORA63